GGGGCCGUAGCUCAGACUGGGAAGGAUAUGUAACCCAUACCUUCGGCUAAGGAGAGCACUACGCUGAAGACGUAGGUGUCCUGGGUUCAAAUCCCAGCGGCCCCA
rnacentral:tRNA from 1 species